CCUACGGGGGGCGGCAGUGAGGAAUAUUGGUCAAUGGGCGAGAGCCUGAACAGCCAUCCCGCGUGAAGGAAGAAGGCGCUAUGCGUUGUAAACUUCUUUUUCAGGGGGAUAAAAUACUGUAUGAAUACGAUACUGAAGGUACCCUGAGAAUAAGGAUCGGCUAACUCCGUGCCAGCAGCCCCGGUC
rnacentral:rRNA from 1 species